UACGAAGGGGGCUAGCGUUGUUCGGAAUCACUGGGCGUAAAGGGCGCGUAGGCGGCUUUGUAAGUCGGGGGUGAAAGCCUGUGGCUCAACCACAGAAUUGCCUUCGAUACUGCAUGGCUUGAGACCGGAAGAGGUAAGUGGAACUGCGAGUGUAGAGGUGAAAUUCGUAGAUAUUCGCAAGAACACCAGUGGCGAAGGCGGCUUACUGGUCCGGUUCUGACGCUGAGGCGCGAAAGCGUGGGGAGCAAACAGG
rnacentral:rRNA from 3 species